rnacentral:rRNA from 1 species
GACGAACGCUGGCGGCGUGCUUAACACAUGCAAGUCGAACGGUGAAGCGCCUUCCUUUUUGGUGGGUGUGGAGGAGUGGCGAACGGGUGAGUAACACGUGAGUAACCUGCCCCCUUCUUCUGGAUAACCGCAUGAAAGUGUGGCUAAUACGGGAUAUUCUGGGUCUGUCGCAUGAUGGGUCUGGGAAAGAUAUUGUUUCGGUGGGGGAUGGGCUCGCGGCCUAUCAGCUUGUUGGUGGGGUGAUGGCCUACCAAGGCGGUGACGGGUAGCCGGCCUGAGAGGGUGGACGGUCACACUGGGACUGAGACACGGACCAGACUCCUACGGGAGGCAGCAGUGGGGAAUAUUGCACAAUGGGCGCAAGCCUGAUGCAGCGACGCCGCGUGAGGGAUGGAGGCCUUCGGGUUGUGAACCUCUUUCGCCAGUGAAGCAGGCCUGCCUCGUUUGUGGGUGGGUUGACGGUAGCUGGAGAAGAAGCGCCGGCUAACUACGUG